CCCGUUCCGGUAACUGGACCUUGGGUUGAUCAAGGCCAGACUCCAACUGACAGGCUCACUGCCUGCAGGCCCUGCCCUUUCAGCCAAUGGCGACACCACUUUCUGGGGCAUGUGCCUGUGCAGUCAUGGUCCUCACACUACCCACAGAGCUGACCAGGAGGAAAGCAUAGAGUUCAGUGUUCCAGCUCCACAGUGUCAUACAAAAUCCCAAGGAGCUGGUACUGCUGACAAGACUCCUGGCCUCGCCACCACCGCCGCGCAGGGGGAGAAGAGGGCUGGGCUUGGCCGGCGCCCUGCCAGGCUCCGCCCACCGCCGCCGCCGCCGCCGAUCUGAGGGGCUCUGGGCGCUCCGACCCUUCCGGCCCGCUCCCCACUACCCCG
rnacentral:lncRNA from 1 species